rnacentral:rRNA from 1 species
GAUGAACGCUGGCGGCGUGCCUAAUACAUGCAAGUCGAGCGAACAGACGAUGUGCUUGCUCCUCUGACGUUAGCGGCGGACGGGUGAGUAACACGUGGAUCACCUACCUAUAAGACUGGGAUCACUUCGGGAAACCGGUGCUAAUACCGGAUAAUAUAUUGAACCGCAUGGUUCAAUAGUGAACGACGGUUUUGCUGUCACUUAUCGAUGGAUCCGCGUGGCAUUAGCUAGUUGGUAAGGUAACGGCUUACCAGGGCGACGAUGCGUAGCCGACCUGUGAGGGGGAUCGGCCACACGGGAAGUGAGCCACGCUCCAUACUCCUACGGGAGGCAGCAGUAGGGAAUAUUCCGCAAUGGGCGAGAGCCUGACGGAACAAGGCCGCGUGAGUGAUGAAGGUCUUCGGAUCGUAAAACCCUGUUAUGAGGGAAGAACAAAUGUGUAAGUAACUAUGGAGGUCUUGACGGUACCUAAUAAGAAAGCCACGGCUAACUACGUG